rnacentral:rRNA from 1 species
UGGGGAAUAUUGCACAAUGGGCGAAAGCCUGAUGCAGCGACGCCGCGUGCGGGAUGAAGGCCUUCGGGUUGUAAACCGCUUUUAAUUGGGAGCAAGCGAGAGUGAGUGUACCUUUUGAAUAAGCACCGGCUAACUACGUGCCAGCAGCCGCGGUAAUACGUAGGGUGCAAGCGUUAUCCGGAAUUAUUGGGCGUAAAGAGCUCGUAGGCGGUUUGUCACGCCUGGUGUGAAAGUCCAUCGCUUAACGGUGGAUCUGCGCCGGGUACGGGCAGGCUAGAGUGCGGUAGGGGAGAUUGGAAUUCCCGGUGUAACGGUGGAAUGUGUAGAUAUCGGGAAGAACACCAAUGGCGAAGGCAGAUCUCUGGGCUGUUACUGACGCUGAGGAGCGAAAGCAUGGGGAGCGAACAGGAUUAGAUACCCUGGUAGUCCAUGCCGUAAAACGGUGGAUGCUGGAUGUGGGACCCUUCCA